GCCGGGCGCGGUGGCACAUGCCCAUAGUCCCAGCUACUCGGGAGGCUGAGGUAGGAGGAUCGCUUGAGCCCAGGAGUUCUGGGCUGUAGUGCGCUAUGCCGAUUGGGCAUCCGCGGUAAGUUCGGCAUCAAUAUGGUGACGUCCUGGGAGCAGGGGACCACCAGGUUGCCUAAGGAGGGGUGAACCAGCCCAGGUCAGAAACGGAGCAGGUCAAAACUCCCGUGCUGAUCGGUAGUGGGAUCGCGCCUGUGAAUAGCCACUGCACUCCAGCCUGCGCAACAUAGUGAGACCCUGUCUCU
rnacentral:SRP_RNA from 1 species